rnacentral:rRNA from 1 species
UGGGGAAUAUUGCGCAAUGGGCGAAAGCCUGACGCAGCGACGCCGCGUGGAGGAUGAAGGUCUUAGGAUUGUAAACUCCUGUUAAGUGGGAAGAAAAGCUUAUCAGUAAUAUGGAUAGGUUAUGACGGUACCACUAGAGAAAGCACCGGCUAACUUCGUGCCAGCAGCCGCGGUAAUACGAGGGGUGCAAGCGUUAUUCGGAUUUACUGGGCGUAAAGGGUGUGUAGACGGUUUACUAAGUCUGUUGUUAAAUACUCUGGCUUAACUGGAGAUCAGCAGUGGAAACUAGUAGACUAGAGGUUGGAAGAGAGAAGUGGAAUUCCCGGAGUAGCGGUAAAAUGCGUAGAUCUCGGGAGGAACACCGAUGGCGAAGGCAGCUUCUUGGUCCAUACCUGACGUUGAGACACGAAAGCGUGGGGAGCAAACAGGAUUAGAUACCCCCGUAGUCC